rnacentral:rRNA from 1 species
GAAGAUUUAUCGCCGGAAAGAUCGGCCCGCGUCUGAUUAGCUAGUUGGUGAGGUAACGGCUCACCAAGGCGACGAUCAGUAGCUGGUCUGAGAGGAUGAUCAGCCACAUUGGGACUGAGACACGGCCCAAACUCCUACGGGAGGCAGCAGUGGGGAAUAUUGGACAAUGGGCGCAAGCCUGAUCCAGCCAUGCCGCGUGAGUGAUGAAGGCCCUAGGGUUGUAAAGCUCUUUUGUGCGGGAAGAUAAUGACGGUACCGCAAGAAUAAGCCC